GGAUUCAUAGCUCAGCAUGGAUAGAGCGGGUGGCUUCGGACCACCAGGUCGGGGGUUCAAAUCCUCCUGGGUCCG
rnacentral:tRNA from 2 species